GAGCGGCGGACGGGUGAGUAAUGCCUGGGAAAUUGCCCUGAUGUGGGGGAUAACCAUUGGAAACGAUGGCUAAUACCGCAUAAUAGCUUCGGCUCAAAGAGGGGGACCUUCGGGCCUCUCGCGUCAGGAUAUGCCCAGGUGGGAUUAGCUAGUUGGUGAGGUAAUGGCUCACCAAGGCGACGAUCCCUAGCUGGUCUGAGAGGAUGAUCAGCCACACUGGAACUGAGACACGGUCCAGACUCCUACGGGAGGCAGCAGUGGGGAAUAUUGCACAAUGGGCGCAAGCCUGAUGCAGCCAUGCCGCGUGUAUGAAGAAGGCCUUCGGGUUGUAAAGUACUUUCAGCAGUGAGGAAGGCGGGUACGUUAAUAGCGUGCUCGUUUGACGUUAGCUGCAGAAGAAGCACCGGCUAACUCCGUGCCAGCAGCCGCGGUAAUACGGAGGGUGCGAGCGUUAAUCGGAAUUACUGGGCGUAAAGCGCAUGCAGGUGGUUUGUUAAGUCAGAUGUGAAAGCCCGGGGCUCAACCUCGGAAUUGCAUUUGAAACUGGCAGACUAGAGUACUGUAGAGGGGGGUAGAAUUUCAGGUGUAGCGGUGAAAUGCGUAGAGAUCUGAAGGAAUACCGGUGGCGAAGGCGGCCCCCUGGACAGAUACUGACACUCAGAUGCGAAAGCGUGGGGGAGCAAACAGGAUUAGAUACCCUGGUAGUCCACGCCGUAAACGAUGUCUACUUGGAGGUUGUGGCCUUGAGCCGUGGCUUUCGGAGCUAACGCGUUAAGUAGACCGCCUGGGGAGUACGGUCGCAAGAUUAAAACUCAAAUGAAUUGACGGGGGCCCGCACAAGCGGUGGAGCAUGUGGUUUAAUUCGAUGCAACGCGAAGAACCUUACCUACUCUUGACAUCCUCAGAAGUGACUGGAGACAGUCUAGUGCCUUCGGGAACUGAGAGACAGGUGCUGCAUGGCUGUCGUCAGCUAGUGUUGUGAAAUGUUGGGUUAAGUCCCGCAACGAGCGCAACCCUUAUCCUUGUUUGCCAGCGAGUAAUGUCGGGAACUCCAGGGAGACUGCCGGUGAUAAACCGGAGGAAGGUGGGGACGACGUCAAGUCAUCAUGUCCCUUACGAGUAGGGCUUCACACGUGCUACAAUGGCGCAUACAGAGGGCGGCCAACUUGCGAAAGUGAGCGAAUCCCAAAAAGUGCGUCGUAGUCCGGAUUGGAGUCUGCAACUCGACUCCAUGAAGUCGGAAUCGCUAGUAAUCGUAGAUCAGAAUGCUCCGGUGAAUACGUUCCCGGGCCUUGUACACUCCGCCCGUCACACCAUGGGAGUGGG
rnacentral:rRNA from 1 species